UACGAAGGGGGCUAGCGUUGUUCGGAAUCACUGGGCGUAAAGGGCGCGUAGGCGGCCGAUCAAGUCGGGGGUGAAAGCCUGUGGCUCAACCACAGAAUUGCCUUCGAUACUGUUUGGCUUGAGACCGGAAGAGGUUAGUGGAACUGCGAGUGUAGAGGUGAAAUUCGUAGAUAUUCGGAGGAACACCAGUGGCGAAGGCGGCUCGCUGGCUCGAUACUGACGCUGAGGUGCGAAAGCGUGGGGAGCGAACAGG
rnacentral:rRNA from 1 species